rnacentral:lncRNA from 1 species
GAACACUGCCACAAGAGAGACCUCAGGGACACAACCUUCAAAGCUGAGAAGUGUAAGGGGGAGAAUUAGAGAGAUGAGGAAGCAGGGGCAAAGAGGGAAUGAGUACAUGAAUCAGUCUCAUACAGCUUGUAAAUGGUGGGACCAAGAUUGAGACAGCCUGAUUCCAGUGUCCAUGCACUUAACUACUAUGCGUGAUUAAACAUUAAUUUAAGUAUUAAUUAAUUAUUAAACAAAAAAACAAAGCAAAA